GAGAGGCGGGAACAGGAGCGGCAAGAGGGCAGCUGCCGCUCAGCGACGCCGCGAUCCCAGGGAGGGUCAAGCUGCUGCAGCCUUCCCUUUCCACCGCGUCCGUAAAUAUGAACCCCUUCUCAGCGACGAGGGAUUGGGAAUUCUAAAUUCUAAGUCUAAUUAUUGCGAGCUGAGUAACAGACCAAGGAAAAAAACAAGAUGCCAAGGCCCCAUUGAACACUUGGUCUAGGCCUUUUCUAGGUGCAGUUUGAACAUAAAGUAUUUUUUUUCCUUAUUACAAACUUUUCUGCACCUAAUUCCUACAUUAUACCACAAAAUACUAUGUUUCUGGAAGACAUUUCCUUCCCACUCGAAAUGAAAGUCAGCUACAGAACAGCCAGGCUCUGUGUUUUCCAGGGGAGCGCAGCUCGGACGCGGUGGUUUGGAAGAUGUGCGCUGGAUCUCGGCAGCUCCAGAGAAGCAGCAGCCGCUGCAGAAGCGCCAUCCGGCGGUGCAGGAAACUCUGCCUGCUCUGCGUUUUAUCCACGGAUAGUGGAAUCUUUGUGCAUCAUUUGGACCCCUCUUUGUGGUUCUGGGAUUUGACCACAGGCUUUUUUUCCUCUGGUAAGCUCAACUUAAUUAUAUUCAAGAGCAAAGCAGCUCUGGCACAAUAUGGGGCCUCACACCACUGUGUGAAAGACACAAACAAGUAAAGCAGUAGUCUACACCUUAAAGAGAUGCAUUUUGAAAAAUAAAUCAAUGCUUUUUGUUGUUUGCUUCA